UACGUAGGGCGCAAGCGUUGUCCGGAAUUAUUGGGCGUAAAGAGCUCGUAGGCGGUUUGUCGCGUCUGUCGUGAAAGCUUGGGGCUUAACCCCAAGUCUGCGGUGGAUACGGGCAGACUAGAGGCAGGUAGGGGAGAACGGAAUUCCCGGUGUAGCGGUGAAAUGCGCAGAUAUCGGGAGGAACACCGGUGGCGAAGGCGGUUCUCUGGGCCUGUACUGACGCUGAGGAGCGAAAGCGUGGGGAGCGAACAGG
rnacentral:rRNA from 1 species